rnacentral:tRNA from 1 species
GGAGAGUUGGCUCAGUGGUUAAGAGCACUUGUUAUUCUUGCAAAGGACCUGGGUUUGAUUCCCAGAAUCUACA